AGUUACCCUACUAGCAUCAGGAUCCGCAGCGGAUCCGCUUUCGGUCCGCCAAAUCCGCCCCACAGUCCGUCCGCUUUGCGGAUCCGCUGCGUAUUUGUUCCGUAUUCGCUUUCUGACUGUUGCUAACCCUAACCCUUGGAUGGCCUGCUGUUACAGAGAGAAUCUGCGGUUAAAUCAUCUUAGAUCCGCACUGUGAACGUACUUUUAACACAACACUUUUGUUUUUUGACACAAUGAUUUGUACUAUUAAUGCGCGGAUCCGCGGGUAACCCGGUUCGGAUUCGCUGCGCGGACGCGCCACUGACUCAUGAGCCGUUAUCAGAACCUGAGAGAAAGAAACAACAUCCACCUGUUGUCCGUGGAUUUCACUUUUUGACAAGUGCAGUAGGAAAGUUAGCGACAGGAGCAGCUAACGUGAUGAAGACGAUGUGAGGUCAGGAGUCAGGAUAACUCCAUCUCUUGAGAUGACAUCAGGACCCUGUCCUUCUGCUGAGUGUCUCCAUCAGGAGCCCGGCACGCUGAUCAGAAAAUAUACUAUGGUUAAUAAGAAGAUGGACAGAACAGCAUGAUAAAGACCCUCUGGAG